ACUACGGGAGGCAGCAGUGAGGAAUAUUGGUCAAUGGGCGGAAGCCUGAACCAGCCAAGUAGCGUGCGGGAUGAAGGCCCUACGGGUCGUAAACCGCUUUUGCACGGGGAUAACACCCUCCACUUGUGGAGGUCUUCAGGUACCGUGCGAAUAAGGGCCGGCUAAUUCCGUGCCAGCAGCCGCGGUAAUACGGGAAGCCCGAGCGUUACCCGGAUUUAUUGGGUUUAAAGGGUGCGCAGGCGGUCUGUUAAGUCAGCGGUAAAAGCACGGGGCUCAACCCCGGCGAGUCGUUGAAACUGGCGGGCUGGAGUUGGAGAGAAGUACGCGGAAUGCGCGGUGUAGCGGUGAAAUGCUUAGAUAUCGCGCAGAACCCCGAUUGCGAAGGCAGCGUACCGGCUCCACACUGACGCUGAGGCACGAAAGCGUGGGUAUCGAACAGGAUUAGAUACCCCGGUAGUC
rnacentral:rRNA from 1 species